rnacentral:lncRNA from 1 species
UUUAUUAGGAGGACAUCUACAUAAAAACGUGGCUUAUAGAUAAGAAAGGAGCCUCAAAUACCGCAUCAGCUCUUAUUUUAGUGUAAGAUAUUUUACUACAUUUUAUUAUGGCCUUGUUCAAUUGCAUGCUUGCAACGAGAGAUUGCCAUUACAAGAUUACACAAACAGAUAUAGUACCGACAUUGUUGUCCAAACAUCCGGGCCUGAUACGGCUGUACGUCCUACCAUUCAUUUUAGCUAAGCCCUUCAAGUAGUCAACGUCCUCUUCCGAAAUCUUAGCUCUGAUUUUAACGAGGCGUGGGUCGUUCUGAUCAAUUCUUUUGUUGGAGUUGACAAAUCCCUUCAAGUAGUCAAAGUCCUCCACAGAGAUCUUAGCUUGAAUUUUAGCGAUGCGCGAUUCGUCCACAUUAAAUGUUUAACAAGGAAUUCAAGGCUUGUUUUGUAAGUUCUGUAUUUUUUUCCGAUCAAUGGAGAAGGAAAGGGAGCUCUUCUAACGGUGAGAAGAGCAAUGCAACUUGGUUGAUAGCUUGAAAGAUGGAUGGUGGGAAGUCUAAGUAGUAAUUCCUAUAACUUCAAAGACAAUCCAUUCUUGUGAUAUUGCAUGUUUAAAAAAGUUGAAAGCACUAUUAAUUGAAUUGGAUAAGGAUAAUGAAGUUGACAUAGCUUUUCAGAGACAGAUUCUAUAUUGAUCAUAAUAUUCACAUAUUAAAUUCGAAUUCCAUAUAUAUAUGUAUAAUGAAGUUGAUAAAUCUUUUGGAAAGGAUAGAUCCAUAUCUAAUAUAUUCCUCAUUGAAGUUACUACUAUAGGUCCCCAAUACUGAUUAGAAUCUUUCUAUUAUAUCAAGAAUUCACCACUUAUUUCGUGAGUGUUGUCCUUAUAUGGAUAGUGGGAAGGUUAAUUAGCUUUGCGAGUAGUUUCAAAAUUCCUUGUCACACUUCAGAUCCGCAAUAGAGUAAAAUUUUGUGUCCCAUGCCUGAUGAUAAAGUAAAUAACAAUUUAAAACCAAAAGAUAAACUUUCUUAUAGAAUAACCAAAAACAUCUAUAAAAACGUCUUCCUCUUGACAUCUCUGUUUUGAGAUAUCCAAGGAUAGAGAUUAUAAUAUCGGUGAGCCCCUCAAUGGAAAUCCAAUCCUUGUUAAUAGAAUUCUUUCGCAUAACAUUUUGCAUUUGGCUAAAGGCAUCUAACAUGGAUGUCUCAACACCUGAUAACAACUUUGUCUUGGAAGAUCUUAUCUUGAGGCAGUAAUUAAGUUCUCCCCACUCGUCUAUUGAUUGCCUCAAUGGAAGGUUACCUCUCCAUGAAGUAUCUUCAAGAACCUUAUGUGUUUCAACGACUAACUAAUUUAAUCCAACAGUUAAGAGAUAGGACCUCACCUAAGAUCCAUAUAUAAGGCCCUCACUAUAGAAUUCUUGCCCUUAGCCAACUCCUCCUAUAUCAAAAGCUACUGGCCAGGCAAAGCCACCUCAGACUAUUAGGAAAGAUGCCUUUGGUUCAUUGAUAAACAAAGGCCACAAUUCUUCUGGUGGGCGGGAGAGAGUCAUCAACGAUAUAAAAGAUCCUAAUCUAUAUUUUUUCAGCUACAAAUGUACACUAACUUUUUAUUUUUAAUGAAAUGGCGAGGAAAAUUCUAUCUUGGGGUAUGUCGAAAUAAUAUUAUUAAGACCUAGUUGGUAUUGGCUGUUUGAUGUCAGAUAUCAAAUUAUAAACGCAAAGUUACAUUGUGUACUCUUAUUAAGUACGUGGAAUGUUCAUUGUGACUUUAUGCAACUUAUCUUGGAUAGUGGUGCAAUUGAGCCUUAAUAUUUAUGUAGUGUGUGUGAACUUAGUAUAUUAUUGCUCCAUCUCAAUAGGAAAAGUUCACAUCAUGGUAUUUACCAAAAAAUAAGAAAGGUCCUUUAAAAAAAAAAUUUCCUAACCAAAAUCAUUAUUGCAUCCAAUAUAAAUGGUUUUUAAUCAACCGAUUAGGCACAGUAAAGCCAGAUAUUGAAAUCCACCUUGCUACUUUUACAUUCUCACUCAAACACAACUCAGAUAUUGUAACAUACUAACAUGUUUGGCCACUUUUCAAAUACAUCCACGCUUUUAUGAUAUUAAAACAAACAUAAUUUACAUUACAUCCUGGGCCAAAAAAAAUUUUAUUUUAUACUUAACCAAAAUAAUGUAAUAUGUAAAAUAAACUAAUAAAUUUCUUAUUUUGUGUAUUUAUCUUAUAAAUUAAGUUAAUUUUUUUCAAUAAUCUCUAAUCUUAAUUUGUGAUAGAAGUCAUACAUUUUGAUUAAGAAAAUUUUAAGACUUUAAAAAAAAAAUUCUAUAAAUAAAUAAUAAUAAAAAACUAGCAUAUUAGGCACAUAGCAGUCUGCCCCGGCCAGUUAGGCACAUCUAGACCCAGCCGGCCCUUUGAAACCUUGUUCCAGCCUGCCCCGAAUCCAACUAGAACCCAAAAAUUUCAGACCAGGCCGACGAACCCCACAUCAGGAUACUUGAAAAUGUUUUUGGCACCCGCUAUAUUCUUCUAUGGUGUUUAAUUAAUUUCUUUUUAAAAUUAAGAAUACUUGUAUUUGAACCCAUUAUUUCUCUAUUUAUUUCCAUAUUUAUAGGAUCCAGAGGGCUAAAUAGCUCUUGUAAAGCAUGUAAAUAUAUAGUGCGCACCCAUUAUUUCUCACAAACAUAAACAUUUGUGUUACGAUUAAGCAACUAUUUGAGAAAGAAAAAGAAAAUCCAUUAAAUCUCUUGGUUUGCACUAGAGACAAAAUCUGUUUCCAUUGACAUAAUCUAGAAAGUUCUCCAUUAUUUUAUUAGAAGUACACUUACAUAAAAACGUGGCGUAGAGCCCCCCUAGCCAAGGAAGAAGCCACAGAUACUGCAUCGGCUCUUAUUUUAGUGUAGAUAUUUUAUUGUGGUACACACAUAUUAAUUAUUUAUUAUGGCCUUCUUCAGUUGCGUGCAUGCAACGAGAGAUUGCCAUUACAGGAAUACACAGCCACCGAUAGUGACGUUAUUGUCAAAACCUCCGGGAGGUGCCCGGAAACAGUUGGCCGUAUGGCUAUUUCCAAAACUUCCGGGACGGGCCCCAAAACAGCUGGCCGUCCUAACAUUAUUGUUAGCGAGGCCCGUGUUGUUUACACUAAAUCUUUUGUUGGCAAGACCCUUCAAGUAGUCAACAUCUUCCUUCGAGAUCUUAGCUUUGAUUUUAACGAGGCGUGGGUCGUUCUCAUCAAUUCUUUUGUUGGAGUUGGCAAAUCCCUUCAAGUAGUCAAAGUCCUCUACAGAGAUCUUAGCUUUGAUUUUAGUGAGGCGUGAUUCGCCCACAUCAAAUCUGUUGUUGGAGUUGGGGAUGGGAAAUCCCCUCAACUGAUUACGGCCCGUAGCUUUGAUUUGAUCAUUCCCACCCCAAAUUCCAAUAGAUUUGGGGUUGAUUUGAUCGUCCCCACCCCUAAACCCUAAAUAACCUUGGUUGUCGAAGUUGGUUUGAUCUUGAUUCGACUUUAUUAUCUCUGUCAGUCCCGUAAACCCUGAAUAGCCUUGGUUGCCGAAGUUGGUUUGAUCUUUAUUUGACGUCAUUGUCUCUCUCACUGAUUAGUUUUUAGGUUAUGGUGUGUGUUUGCUCUGAUGACCAACUCAUUGCCUCAUGGUUGGUCUCCUUUUAUAGUUGUUUGCAUAGACAGAUUCUAUACAUUUUAUCUUCUUGGAAUAAUAUUCUACAAUGAUAGACAGUACAGUCGUAGUGGCCUUUCUUGUUAGAGGAUCUUUUUAACCCUUUUCACAAACACUUGGCAAUACAUCUCACUCAAGUUACUCAUGACUCUAUACAGUGGCGGAUUGUUUAGGCUAAACUGUUAAGGCAUUUUUGUAGAACAAAUGAGUCAUUUCCUAUCCAAUUAUUAUUUUUUAAAUAUAAAAAUAAUAAUAAUUUUAAAAUAAAAACACACACACUAAUACUCUACAAUGAACCCCAACCUACCCUAGAAACUCUUUGUCUAAUAAGCAGAACAAGAAGGUUUUUUAUUUUUUUAUUUAUUUUUUUUGAGAACCCCUUUAUAGAUAAAUUCAUCACUAAAAUUUAAGAUUUUGAGCUAUCUCUUCUUCCUUUUCUUUCUAUGUCUUUUAAGAUUUCCAGAUAAUUGUUUCCUACGUAUCAUUUUUAAUUUCCAAAUAAAAAUCACAAUAAUCACAUCAACACAUAAUAAAGCAAGAAACAAUAAUAAUAAAUCAACUUUUUAGAGCAAUAAUUUGAUUAAAGGAUCAAUGAACAAUAAAACCUGGAUUUGUGUGCUUGCUUGCGUAAUGAAAUGAACAUAUUUUCAAUUACCAAAAAAAUAAAUGAACAUAUUUUUGAGUUAGACGUAGACCAGCCUAUUUGACCCAAAAAAAAAAAAAAAAAAAGACUUGGACAUUGGCCUACUUUUCUUUAUUUUAUUUUGGCUUAUUAUCACAAAACGCCCUUAAGGUUUAUGAAACUAUCAGAUUGCAUUCUUAAUGUUUUUUUUGUGUCAUUUGUGGUUCUCAAGGUUAGUAUGUAUGAUCACAAAUGGUCCCUGCCGUUAGGUUAUGCAAAAAACUCCAUUAGUUUGCUGACGUGACAUAUAUAUAUAUCACAAAACAUCCCUGAGGUUCACGCACCUAUUACAAAUGGUCCUUACGAAUUUUUUUAAUUUUUAAAAUUUAAAAUUCAUAAAAUUUUUGUUUUCUUUUUAAAAUUUUAUGAAUUUAAAUUAUCUUCAAACAUAUAUUAUAUUUUAAAUACAUGUGACACUAUAUUAUUGUAGAUGUGGGCUCCAUAUUUAUGCCACAUCAACAAACUAAUGGAGUUUUUAAAAAAUAAUUUAAAAUUUAUAAAAUUUAAAAAUGAAAAAACUAAGGUUUUAGUGUUCAUAAAUGGUCCUCAAGAUUAAAAUCCUUCUAUAAAUGGUUUUUUCAUUUAUAAAUAAUUUUAACAAGAAAACCAAAAUUUUAUGAAUUUAAAUUAAAAAAUAAAAAAAAUCGUAGAGACCAUUUGUGAUAGGUGUGUGAACCUUAGGGAUGUUUUGUGAUAUAUAUGUAUGCCACGUCAGCAAACUAACGGAGUUUUUGACGGAAUCUAACGGCAGAGACUAUUUGUGAUUGCACAUACUAACCUUGAGGACUAUGAGUGACACAAAAAAAGUUAAGGAUGCAAUCUAAUAGUUUCGUAAACCUUAGAGGCGUUUUGUGAUAAUAAGCCUUUUAUUUUUUUAGUUUUUUGUUGCUACAACUACAUGCCCAUCACUUUGCGCUUAGUGUUGCAUCAGUAUCUGGCCUACCACUUUUUGUUUUUUAAGUUUUUUGUUGCAGCAAAGGCUGCUUUCUCCACUGCCUUUCUAGCCUUUCGUCGAGCAUCUUGUGUGCAUUUGAGGUGCCCGAGCUUCUCGUCAUGGGGUUGUCUCAGACCUCCAUAGGCUGUCCACAGACACAUUUUCGGCCAUCUCAUGGGAUCAUGUGACCCCUCUUGUCCCUGAAUGGGUCUGCCCCUGACUCUAUAUGUACAGUCAGCAGGCUUCACAUGUAUUUAACAUGUUAGUUGUUAGAAACUGUUAAGAGUUUGUUAGUUUGUUAAUAGCUUACUUAAGCUUUAAGUAAGCAUACUAUAAGUAUGCUAAUGUAUACUGUAAUUCAUUCUUAACAAAUAUGCAAAUCAGAAUAUACUUCUUCUUCUUUGAUUUCUCUCUGCCUUUUCUCUACUUUCUCUAGCUUCCUUCAAUUCUAGUCUCUGUGAAAUCUUUGAUCCGUCAUCAGUUACUACUGUGCGUAGAUUGUCAAUCCUCAGUAAUGGAUUAGCUAAUGUUUAACAAGGAAUUCAAGGCUUAUUUUGUAAGUUUUUUUUUUUUUUUUUUUUUUUUCCGAACAAUGGAGAAGGGAAGGGAGCUCUUCUAACAGUGAGAAGAGCAAUGCAACUUGGUUGAUAGCUUGAAAGAUGGAAGGUGGGAAGUCGAACUAGUAAUUCCUAUAACUUCAAGGACAAUCCAUUCUUAUGAUAUUGCAUGUUUAAAAAAGUUGAAAGCAAUAUCAAUUGAAUUCGAUAAGGAUAAUGAAGUUGACAUAGCUUUUUAGAGACAGAUUCUAUAUUGAUCAAAAUAUUCACAUAUUAAAUUCGAAUUCCAUAUAAUGUAUAAUGAAGUUGAUUAAUCUUUUGGAAAGGAUAGAUCCAUAUCUAAUAUAUCCCUUAUUAAAGUUACUACUAUAGGUCCCCAAUCUUGAUUAGAAUCUUUCUAUCAUAUCAAGAAUUCACCACUUAUUUCGUGAGUUGUCCUUAUAUAGAUGGUGGGAAGGUUAAUUAGCUUUGCGAGUAGUUUCAAAAUUCCUUGUCACACUCUAGACCCAGGAUAGAGUAAAAAUCUGUAUCCCGUGCCUGAUGAUAAAGUAAAUAACGAAGGUGUUUUAACGCUAGUUUACAGAGCUUUAGGUCCCGUCAUACACAAGAAGUCUUAAACUACGUUUUCUUUUCGCCUACGUCGUUGUAGUUGAUGGAGUUGCCUGUGCUAAAGAAGCCUGUCUUCACUGAGAUUCUAAGAGAUUCCUCACUCAACUUAAAACCAAAAGAUCAACUUUCUUAUAGAAUAACCAAAACGUCUAUAAAAACAUGAUAUACACUUAUGCUAUAACUUCAGAUCUCCUAACCCUCUAUAGAAAAUUUCCCAUAUUGAAAAACUAACAAACCUUGAAAGGAUUUAUAAGGAGUUGAAUUACUCCCCAUUGCCAGUUGAUUUUGGGGUGAAAGAAGGAUUGGACACUUGAAAUUCUACAAUUGUAAACAAAUCCAGAGCUUUGUCCAACCAUGCAAUAAUAGAUUGUAUACUCAACAAAUUGGCCGCAAUUUUAUUAUAUAAAAAAUAGUAUAGCCGCACGGGGACUAAAUUGGCCAAAUACAAGGACUAUUUUGACAUUUAAGCCUACAUAAUAUACACAUAGGAGGAAGACAUGCAACGAUCAAGACCACUUGCGCCGCAAGUUCCUCUCUAAUUGAUCUUUCACUUUUUUAUUGUCAAUCUAUACAUAAAUAACAUUAGAUGAGACCAAACUUAAACAUAUACUUUUAAAUUUGCACUAAUCAAAUUUUAGCAUAAUUUGGGAACAGUAUACUCACCUUCAAUUUUGAUAGUUUAUCCUUUACUACCUGUCUACUUCAAUUAUCGGAAGAAAACUGUAUCAAAAAUAGUGUCAUCUUCAAAAUUCAAGAGACAAAAGGAAAAUCCUUUCAUUUCUAUAUAAGAAGCCAAGUUUAACAAUAAAACAAUUAAUAAGAAAUUGCUAGAGGAUUAAAGGAACAUUUUCAUAAUUUGCUACCUUAACACUAUGAUAAACACAAUUUUGGGUCUAAAGGGGCCUUAACAAUGUAAAAUAGGAGGACUAUAUGCAAUUGUGUGCUACCUUAACAUUAUGAUAAACACAAUUUUGGGCCUAAAGAGGCUUUAACAAUGUAAAAUAGGAGGACUAUAUGCAAUUGUGUGGUAAUGCAAAAUGGUAAUUUUUUUAAUUUAAGUCUCGUCACAAAUACUAUGUCAAAGAAAGUAGAGGCAUUUUCUAUGUUCUACUACAAUGCAUACAUCAACAUUUGGUUUUGCAUCUUUUUUUUUUUUUUUUGUCGCAUGUAUUUUUAUUUUUAACAUGCUAGCAUCUCCAUUUGCUACACUGUGGACCCAUUCCUGUAUUUUUAUGUAAAAUUAACCAUAUGAAUUCGCCAUUAAAAAUACCUACAAAUACCAUGAUCCUACAUAAAACAGCAAAUGUACUCAUAUCUCAUUAACAUAUUUGAAACUGAAAAUACCUGUAGGAUAUCUAUAUAUGCCUGGAGAAGGUUAAGCAAGCUAAUUCGAAUUUUUGAAAUAAAUAAUGAUCAACCUUUGAAGCAGGAUUGAUAUGAGUUAUCAAUCCUGAGAUGUGCAAAGCUUAAAAUAAAAGAACACGCAGAGAGUUAUUUUACGUGGUAAAACCCCACCUCUGAGGAAAAUCCACGGGACUUCUCAGUCCAACUCAAAUCCACUAUAGAACGAUGAUUACAAGAAGUAUUCACACACUUAUCCUAGACUCAUUCUAGAUAAUGUUUACCAACUUCUUCAUAACUCAACUUCUGUCACGGGAUGAUCUUCGACACUCCUUAUGUUGAACGCAAUACUGGCCACGAUUGCUUCAAGCUCGUCGGAGGAAAACCGCCACCACGGUCUUGGUGCCCUCAACCGUAUGAGUCACCGACAUGCAUAUGAAUGCAAUAUGAAUGAUUAAAGUGUUUGAUAAAUCACCAAGUUAAACAUGGAACACUUGAUGAUUUAACUCAAAUAUAUGCACAACAGCUUUUGCUUAAGAAUUCUAUAUGCUUAACCCAAUAUCAAAAACUGUGCAAAACCAAAGAGAUGCAAGCUGCUUUUAUUCAAAGCUUCCUAUAUCAAGUCAGAUGGCUGCACACGAGUACCAAACCCACUUCAAUUAUAACUAUGAACUUUUAGCUUAAUUUGGAUUCUUAUGAAGACCACAAUUGGUUUUCCAACAUGAAUAUUAUUUCAAUAUGGAUUCUUAUUGAAAAACGCCAACCAACCAAUUUUUAAUAGAAAAACAAUAUCUAUUAAAACAAAUGAAUUAGACCAAUCAAGUAAGAGAAGAUUUCAACCUACAAGUCAUAAUAGGAAAAGAUAAUAUUUUAUUUCAACCUACAAGUCAUAAUAGGAAAAAAUAAUAUUUUAACUUAAAUCAAAAUAGAGUCCAACUAGAAAAGUAAUCUUAAGAGAUAAAGUCUAAUCCUAUUAAAAAUAAGAUUAACAUAAAAAUACUUGAUUGAAAAAAAAACUCAAACUAGGAAUCCUAUAAUGAAUGCAUGAUUGUAUCAUGAUUUACUUGAAAUCAAGUUUCUCAUAUCGGUCAAGUCAAGCCUCGGAUGUAUGGGGUUGAAUGAGUUGUGCCAAAACGUCCAGUAACAAUUCUUUACACACUAAUUUUCAACCUAUGCUAGAGUCUAGGAAAUGACAACACUAUUUUCAUACUAACAGAAACCUUCUCUUCAUACAAUUCUGGUUUACAGAGUGGGGUGAUUUUGUUGAAUAUGAAGACUUAAUGACCAUAUUCAGCUCCUGAAUAAUCAGAUUUCCUCUGUUCUUUCAAUUCUGUAGCAAUCUUUGUUCCCACCUCCUUUAUUUUGUUGUUGAAGUAGUGGAAGCAUUUCAUUGCAUAAAAUCCUAUAACAACUCCCUGCUAAUUGUUACAUCAAUCUUCCUUUGCUGCCAUUGAAUCAAUCUCAUAAAAUUAAAGACUAUUAUUGAUAUGUCACAUGAUUGUAAGGAAGUAUCAGCAUCGUCAUAUAAACAUAGUUAAAAUUCUCAAAUAGUUCAAAAUGCUAAACGAAGAAACAAUAGGUCACUACCAAGAUAAUCAUAUAUAAAAUGUUUACUUGACAAUAAAGAAUAAGAAUCACAGAGACAGAGAAGUACCCAAAGAAAUGUAGUAAUUUAAUGAAAACCACAAAGAGAAUAUGGAUUUAAGGGUAAGAAUACAAUUCACUACGAAAAAUGAAUACAAUCUUGUACUUCUUCAUCCAUUCCAAAUGAAGGCAAAUGGAAAAGGCAAAAUCAAAUUAAGAAAAUCUCUAAGUUGCUUUUGUUCCAAAGAAAGAGUUCAUACAAUGUAUGCAUUAUUUUGCAACUGAUAAUUUUAGGAUAUAUUUAUUGUUUAGAUAAUACUUGUGUUAACAUUAGUUAUUAUUGUCAAGAUGAGAAUGAUGACAUUUUCCUAAUGGUUAUGUGAUAAAGCAAACGAUUAAACAAAUCGAUAGCAAAGAAGAGGACAGAGAAGAAACUGAGGGGAGAAAAUUAAUUGAUAUCCUGUAUAAGAAAUAGCAACGCAAGCAGGAGGACAUAGAAAUGAUAUCUUGUUAAAUUCACUCUCUUGCAUAACAAUAUUAACUGAGGAAGACAAAAGAAUAAACAUGAGUAAAUGAAUUUAUGCAAGAUUGCCCCAGAUAUUUAAAUAUCUGCAAAAAUCAACUCUCUUACAUAGUCUUUCAGCAAACCGUUAGAAAAACCAAAGACAAAAAAAUUAAGCAAAAGAAUAAACUGAAAACAAAAAUUUUAAAGCUGAAAAGAGUGGCUUCGAGGCAUUUGAAAACCACAAUGUAAAAGCUGAAGGAAAAAACAAAUAUUUCAGAAAUAAGUCAAACAAACACACAACCACAAUGAUACACACAAACAUAUUUCAGAAAAAUGUAUACUGUAAUUCAUUCUUAACAAAUAUGCAAAUCAGAAUAUACUUCUUCUUCAUUGAUUUCUCUCUGCCUUUUCUCUACUUUCUCUAGCUUCCUUCAAUUCUAGUCUCUGUGAAAUCUUUGAUCUGUCAUUAGUUACUAUUGUGCGUAGAUUGUCAAAAUCCGCAAUAAUGGGUUAGCUAAUGUUUAACAAGGAAUUCAAGGCUUGCUUUGUAAGUUUUGUUUUUUCUCCAAUCAAUGGAGAAGGAAAGGGAGCUCUUCCAACGGUGAGAAGAGCAAUGCAACUUGGUUGAUAGCUUGAAAGAUGGAUGGUGGGAAGUCUAACUAGUAAUUCCUAUAACUUCAAGGACAAUCCAUUCUUGUGAUAUUGCAUGUUUCAAAAAGUUGAAAGCAAUACUAAUUGAAUUCGAUAAGGAUAAUGAAGUUGACAUAGCUUUUCAGAGACAGAUUCUAUAUUGAUCAUAAUAUUCACAUAUUAAAUUCGAAUUCCAUAUGUAAGUAUAAUGAAGUUGAUAAAUCUUUCGGAAAGGAUAUAUAUCUAAUAUAUUCCUCAUUAAAGUUACUACUAUAGGUCUCCAACACUGAUCAGAAUCUUUCUAUCAUAUCAAGAAUUCACCACUUAUUUCCUCGAGUUGUCCUUAUAUGGAUGGUGGGAAGGUUAAUUAGCUUUGCCCAAAAGAUCAACUUUCUUAUAGAAUAACCAAAAACAUCUCUUUGCUUCCUGCUGGCAGCGUCUUCUUUCUCCUUUCUUCUUUCUGAAAUCUGCUAGCUCUUUGCUUAUUAUCUCCGCCGGCUCUAAAGGCACUCCAACUGCCAUAUCUAUGUCUGUGAGCAUGUCAUUUGCAAAACACUGGUCAAGGGUCUGAUCUUUAAGACCCUGGUUUAGCAAAUUAUAGAUAAUAAUCUCAUUCUUAGGGCAUCACCAAUGCGGGGGUCUAUAAGGGGAUGUAUGUUAAAUUUACAUCCGUUGUGAUCGGAAUCACCCGCAAUGGGGGAUGUAAAUGGACGUAUAAUUACAUCACCACCAUGAGAUGAAAAUAUAGAUGCAAUUGUACAUCUAUUUUUACAUCUCUUGCAGGUGGGACCCAGUUGGGAAAAUAAAGAAAAAAUAGAGAAAAGUCAGCAUAAAAAGUGAGACCCACGGUUACAGUAAUUUCUAGAAGAAAAAAAAAUCACCUGUUGUUUGCUCAUUUGUGGUUUUCAUGCUCCCCCAAUGUUUUUGGAUGAAAUCAUAUCUUCUCCGAAUUUAAAUAUUUUUAUAUACAAAAAAAAUUAAUUUUAUAAAGUAAACACAAAAACGAAUUAAGACAAACAAAACAAUUAUACAUCUUAGAUUUACAUCUUUUUGGAGCAAAAAAACGUAUUACACCCCCCGAAGAUUUAAAGAGAAUGUAAAAGUGGCUUUACACCCCCCAUUAGUUAUGCUCUUACAGACACACAAAUAUUCAUGUACAUUGCUACAAAUUUCGGGAGGGAAAAGUUAACAAAUCUUUCAUCUCUCUUGGGGAAAAAAUUAACACACACACACACCCCAAUUAGCAUACUAAUUGGCCAAGGACAGAAACUUACAGUUGAAUCGUAGGAAACUAAAAGUAAUACCUGUUCUCAAACAACUAAGAAAGCAUAAACAAACAAAAGCUAGAAGUUCAAUGAUUUAGGAAAUUAAAGUUAAAAUUAAUCAUAGUUAGAAAACUACUAUUUGAUACGUGGAACGAUUUUGUGUGCUACGAGUCAAUGUUUGUAGAAUUGGGCCUGGUUUGGUUCAUCUCCUCUUUCUCUGGGCUUUGCUUUUUUUUUUUAAAAACAUUAGUAAUGAAUCCCCAAAACCCCAAGCCUACAAGUAAAACUUAAUUUGGAGAAAAAAUUAGUUACAAUGGGAUAAUAUUAUUUUACUAUUAUCGGCCAUUAAUGCUAUGACACGUAUAAUAAUUUUUUCAUGUAGCAAAACGUUAUUGCCCCCGGUUUGAUGUAAGUGUUUCUCCCUCCAAUUUGACAUACAAAUCAAGAUCCCACAUUUGAAUAUUCUUGGAUUAGGCAUGUAUUAAACUUAAUGUAGAUUUGCAAAUCUAAUGCCCUCUUUGCUGUGGUCUAACGAUGCACACAAGAAUCCAAUUAUGCGAGGCUAUUGGUCCAACUAAUAAACAAAAACAUCCAGCUAAUUAAUUUCUUUUUAAAAUUAAGAGUACUUGUAUUUGAACCCAUUAUUUCUCUAUUUAUUUCCAUAUUCAUAGGAUCCAUAGGGCUAAAUAGCUGUUGUAAAGGAACAAGUCCCUUUAUUUUUUAUUUUGAAAAAAAGAUUCUCUAUCAAAUAAAAUACUUAUGAUAAGAGAAAAUCUUUUUCCACUGCCAUAAUCUAAAAGUUAAAUAUUGACAAACAAAAAAAAUCUAAAAAUCUAAAAAGUUAAAUGUUGAAUUUGAUAUUUAAUGUCAAGCUCCAUUUAUUUAUUAGAUGAAAAUUUACAUAAAAACGUGGCCUGCAGAUAAGAAAGGAGCCUCAAAUACCGCAUCAGCUCUUAUUUUAGUGUAAGAUAUUUUACUACAUACACACAUAUUAUUAUGGCCUUGUUCAAUUGCAUGCUUGCAACGACAGAUUGCCAUUACAGGAUUACACAGAUUUUAAUAUGGAUAAUAUGUCCCUGCACAAGGCCGUCCUCAUCAAAUCUUUUGUUGAAGUUGGAGUUGGCAAGUUCCUUCAAGUAGUCAACGUCUUUCUCCGAGAUCUUAGCUCUGAUUUUAGCGAGCCGUGGGUCGUUCACAUCAAUUUUUUUGUUGGAGUUGGCAAAUCCCUUCAAGUAGUCAAAGUCCUCCACAGAGAUCUUAGCUUUGAUUUUAGCGAGACGCGAUUCGUCCACAUGAUCAAAUCUGUUGUUGAAGUUGGAGUUGGAAAAUCCCUUCACCAGAGGGCCGCCUUUAGCUUUGAUUUCAUCGUCCCCACCCCUAAACCCUAAGCUGGGUUGAUUUGACGUCAUUGUCUCUCUCACCGAUUAGUUUUUAGGUUAUGGUGUGUUUGCUCUGAUGAUCAACUCAUU